rnacentral:tRNA from 2 species
CGCGGGGAGGAGCAGUUCGGUCGCUCGUCGGGCUCAUAACCCGAAGGUCGUGUGGUUCAAAUCCCACCCCCGCUACCA